CCUGUUGCACAAAAGUAGAAUUAAGACAUCCGGGAUAAAUGACUCAGCUGAGCUCAAUGAAGCCAAAACAUGUGCGUCCAGGCUUAAUUGGUUGCACAAAGACCAAGCCAGGAUGAGCAGACACGGAUUCAUUAAGCCAGGUGAAACCAAUCCUGGAUAGGUGCGCGCUCACGGCUCACUCAAAUAGACCCCGCCACAGAUCACAGAUUAACUGAUUUACCAUGGCAACUAGAGCCGCGUACUUUUCCCCGUCGGAAGCACAAAUCCUCAUGGAGGCAUACGAGGAGGUAAAAGAUAUAAUUAAGAAGAAAGGCAACACCGCCACAGUGAUAAAGCAAAGAGAAAAAGCGUGGCAAAGUAUUGCAGACCGCCUGAAUGCGUAAGUAGUGCACAAUUACACACUCACCGCUCCGCUGAAACAUCACAAUUACAAUUCAAAUAUUUAAUUCACAUCUCCAAAAAUGCAGUUGUACUGUAAUUAUGAAACGGUUAAAUUUUUAAUUGAAAUGCACUGCAGAUAUGAGUGAAAUUGUGUAAAGUAACUCCAUCACACUGUAUAAAGCUAUGAUACAUUUUUUGAUAUUUUUACUGAAAACAAGACAAAAAUACCAAGUAAUUUUUUGCAGUGUGACAUUAAAUGUGUGUGUGUGUGUGUGUGUGUAGAUUAAACAUGAACGGGCCAAAACGGACAUGGCAGCAGGUCAAAAUCAAAUACAAGAACAUUCUGCAGAAUGCAGUGAAAAAGAAUACCCACAGACAAGGCACGGGUGGUGGGUCACCAAAGGCUGACCUUACCCCAGCAGAGGACAUGGCCUUGGAGCUAAAUAAAGGCAGGCCCGUCUUAGAGGGGAUCCCUGGGGGGGAAAGAGACGAGCAUAGGUUCCUCCCAAGAUGCCACCCGCUUCAUUCAAGUGCCUGGCAGCACUGUGUUCCUGUUAGAGCCACCAGCACAAGCACCAGACGAUGCUGAUCCAGGUGAAGGCCCCAGUGCAGCAGCAACAGCACAUGAUGGAGACGAUGAUGAGGAGGAGACCAUCUCUCUGGAUUCCAGAAGGCAUGAGGACCCAGAUGCUAUACAGUGGGAAAACCAGCCUGGCAACAUAGUGCAUAUUAAUAAAAGGACACCACAUCCUGCCAAAUUCCAGCUGCGCUAAUUGUAUUGUGUUCACAGAGCUCACAAGCUAUCAGAAAGUUGUAUGGCAACCACCUCCGGCGCCAAAUAGAACUGGCAGACAUAGACAUUCAGUACAAGAAGAAAAAGAUGGAAAAUCUUGCACUGGAGUCCGAAAUAAAAAAGAGGACAAUUAGGAAACUGGACCUUGAAAUAAAAAAACUUGAGAGGGAGCUCCAAGAAGAUGACACAGCUCAAAAUAAAAAUUAGCAAUCAGUACAACCAAGUCAUCGUUAUAAGGCAUCGCCCUCUUUUGCCCACCCCCAGCACCAGGUGUGGCCACUAGCCUAUAUGAAGGCCCAAAAUUGUGUGUUCCUUUCUGCUCUGACAAUGGCAUGCCCAUUCGUGCGAGAUGUGGUGGAUGAAGAAGCACUUGUGCUGAGGAGAGCCUUCAGGCGAGAAAGGGUCUUCAGGGACCGGUUGGACCCACUGGCCUUCCCUGAUGACCAUCUAUAUGAAAGAUACAGGCUUUCUGCAGAUGGCAUCAGGUAUCUAUGCAGACUACUGGGUCCCAGGAUUAAGCACCGCACUGCACGGAGCCAUGCACUGAGUGUGGAGCAAAUGGUUUGUGUGGCCUUGCGCUUUUUUGCUAGUGGAGCCUUCCUGUACUCAGUGGGGGAUGCAGAACAGCUGAACAAGGCCACAAUUUGCCGCACAAUAAGGAGUGUGUGUCUGGCUAUCAAAGCAUUAGCAGAUGUCUUCAUCUCCUUCCUGGCCACAGAAGACUCUGUGACAUCAAAGAGGAGUUCUAUAGGAUUGCAGGUUUCCCCAAUGUCAUUGGUGCAGUGGACUGCACACACAUAAGGAUAAAAAGCCCCCUCAGGUGCCCAUGAGGCCGAUUUUGUGAAUAGGAAAUCCUUUCACAGCAUUAAUGUUCAGAUGGUCUGCAAUGCUGACUGUGUGAUCAGCAAUGUUGUGGCAAAAUGGCCUGGCUCAGUCCAUGACUCCAGAAUCUUUCGGGCCUCUGAAAUCUAUCACAAGGUGAAUUCUCUGGUGUGUUGCUGGGAGACAGGGGGUAUGGCUGCCAGCCUUUUCUCCUGACACCUUUCACAGACCCCAGGAAGCACAGCAGGCCUACAACCAUGCCCAUGCCAGGACCAGGGCCAGAGUUGAAAUUACCUUUGGCCUCCUGAAGGCACGCUUUCACUGCCUUCACAAAUUAAGGGUCAGCCCUGUUAGGGCAUGUGAUAUUACUGUGGCUUGUGCUGUCCUCCACAAUGUGGCCUGCCUGAGGAAGGAGAGGGCCCCCAGAGUGCCACCAGCCAUGGACUGGGACAAUCCGGCAAUCUUCCCUGAUGACGACAGUGGUCGGCUGCUGAGGGACCAAUAUGUGUUGAAUUAUUUUAGUUAGUAUGUGUGCUUUCAAUUUUGGUUAAAUAUGUCCUGCGGUGGCAGAGGAAUUUGGGUUUUUUUGGGUUCGUUUUUGUGAAUUUGGCCUCUUAUGAUGUUUGUGCGGUAUACUGUGUGUAAUACAAGGCUGCAGGAGGCUACUGCAUCCAUUCAUUUGUCUGUUCAGUUGAUGUGUAUGGAUUUGUCCUGCAUUUAUUUUAGUGUGCAGACAUGCAGGGUGUGUUAUAUACAGACCUUUGAAUGUGUAUGUAUCAUUUUGUAUAAUAUGCUUGGAUUCUGUGCUUUCCAUCUUGUAGAGUCACUGUGACUUCAGUUUCGAAAGGAGCUGAUGGUUUACCUGCUUUGUUUUGUCCUUAUUCAAUAAAGGAACAUAAUGUUACACAUUGUGUUUUUAUA